UAUGGAAAAGCAAAUGUAGGCAUGAGUAACGAUAAUGCGGGAGAGUAACCCGCACACCGCAAGACCAAGGUUUCCUGAUCAACGCUAAUCGGAUCAGGGUUAGUCGGGUCCUAAGGGUAAGCCGAACGGCGAUCUCGAUGGAUAAUCGGUUAAUAUUCCGAUACUAACAUAUACCUCGAUGGAGAGACGAAGGAACGUAAGUGCCGCCACCUGACGGAAUAGGUGGUUAAAGGGCGUAGGUAUAGGGGCAGAUUAAGAGUUAGUCCUUGCUGAAACCUGACAGUACAGAGAGCCUACGGGCAAUUUGAUAGAGCACCCAAGUCGACUUCCGAGAAAAUCUUCUAAGUUAUAGUAUAUGUUACCCGUACCGUAAACCGACACAGGUGGUCGAGGAGAGUAUCCUAAGGUGCUCGAGUGAAUCACGGUUAAGGAACUAGGCAAAUUAACCCCGUAACUUCGGGAAAAGGGGUCCCUAUGAAAGUAGGGCGCAGCGAAGAGGUCCAGGCGACUGUUUAUCAAAAACACAGGGCUCUGCAAAUUCGAAAGAAGACGUAUAGGGCCUGACACCUGCCCGGUGCUGGAAGGUUAAGAGGGGAUGUCAUCGCAAGAGAAGCAUUGAAUCGAAGCCCCAGUAAACGGCGGCCGUAACUAUAACGGUCCUAAGGUAGCGAAAUUCCUUGUCGGGUAAGUUCCGACCUGCACGAAUGGUGUAACGAUCUGGACACUGUCUCAACCGUGAGCUCGGUGAAAUUGUAGUCCCGGUGAUGAUGCCGGGUACCCGCAACGGGACGAAAAGACCCCGUGAACCUUUACUAUAGCUUAACGCUGAAUUUGGGUACACAAUGUGUAGGAUAGGCCGGAGGCUUUGAAGCGGGCACGCCAGUGUUCGUGGAGCCGACGUUGAAAUACGGCCCUUUGUGUAUUUGAGUUCUAACCCUGCGAAGGGGACACCGUUUGGUGGGUAGUUUGACUGGGGUGGUCGCCUCCAAAAGCGUAACGGAGGCUUCCCAAGGUACCCUCAGCACGAAUGGUAACCGUGCGCGGAGUGCAAUAGCAUAAGGGUGCUUGACUGUGAGACAUACAAGUCGACCAGGUACGAAAGUAGGGUAUAGUGAUCCGGUGGUUCUGCGUGGACUGGCCAUCGCUCAAAGGAUAAAAGGUACUCCGGGGAUAACAGGCUGAUCGCCGCCAAGAGCUCAUAUCGACGCGGCGGUUUGGCACCUCGAUGUCGGCUCGUCACAUCCUGGGGCUGGAGAAGGUCCCAAG
rnacentral:rRNA from 1 species